rnacentral:rRNA from 1 species
GACGAACGCUGGCGGCGUGCUUAACACAUGCAAGUCGAACGGAAAGGCCCCUUUGGGGGUACUCGAGUGGCGAACGGGUGCGUAACACGUGAGUAACCUGCACUUGACUUCGGGAUAACUUCAGGUAACUGGGGCCAAUACCGGAUAGGAAUCCUUUCUGGAUGGUGGGGGUUGGAAAGCGUCGGCGGUUUUUGAUGGCAUGGAUGGUUAUCAGCUUGUUGGAGGGGUAAUGGCUUACCAAGGCGUUGUCGGGUAGCCGGCCUGAGUGGGCGACCGGCGACAUUGAGACUUAGAGACGGCCCAGGCUCCUACGGGAGGGAGAAGUGGGGAAUAUUGCACAAUGGGCGGAGGCCGGAUGCAGCAGCGCCGCGGGCGGGAAGACGGCCUUCGGGUUGUAAACCGCUUUCAUCAGGGGCGAAGCUUGUGGUGACGGUACCUGCAGAAGAAGCACCGGCUAACUACGUG